UGGGGAAUCUUGGACAAUGGGCGCAAGCCUGAUCCAGCCAUGCCGCGUGAGUGAAGAAGGCCUUAGGGUUGUAAAGCUCUUUUGCCAGGGACGAUAAUGACGGUACCUGGAGAAUAAGCCCCGGCAAACUUCGUGCCAGCAGCCGCGGUAAUACGAAGGGGGCUAGCGUUGUUCGGAUUUACUGGGCGUAAAGCGCACGUAGGCGGGUCGUUAAGUCAGGGGUGAAAUCCCGGAGCUCAACUCCGGAACUGCCUUUGAUACUGGCGACCUUGAGGCUGGAAGAGGUUAGUGGAAUUCCCAGUGUAGAGGUGAAAUUCGUAGAUAUUGGGAAGAACACCAGUGGCGAAGGCGGCUAACUGGUCCAGAUCUGACGCUGAGGUGCGAAAGCGUGGGGAGCAAACAGG
rnacentral:rRNA from 1 species